GUUCAAAUGAAAAAAGACUUAUGGUGGAUACCUGGGCACCCCGAGACGAGGAAGGGCGUAGUAAGCAACGAAAUGCUUCAGGGAGUUGAAAAUAAGGGUAGAUUCGGGGAUUCCCGAUAUUGGUCAACCUUUCAAACUGCUGCUGAAUCCACGGGCAGGCAAGAGACAACUUGGUGAAUUGAAACAUCUUAAUAGCCAGAGGAAAAGAAAGCAAAAGCAAUUCCUGUAGUAGCAGCGAGCGAAAUGGGAGCAGCCUAAACCGUGAAAAUGAGGUUGUGGGAGAGCUAUACAAGUGUUGUGCUACUAGGCGAAGCAGCAGAGAAUGCUGCACCCUAGAUGGCAAGAGUCUAGUAACCAAAAGCAUCACUAGCUUAUGCUUUGACCCGAGUAGCAUGGGGCACGUGGAAUCCCAUGUGAAUAUAUAAGGUCCACCUAAGUGGAGGUUCGAACCGACUGAUGUUGAAGAAUCAAGGAUGAGUUAUGGUCAUGGGUGAAAUGCCACUCGAACCUAGAGCUAGCUGGUUCUCCCCGAAAUGCGUUGAGGUGCAGUAGUUGACUGGACAUUUAGGGAUAAAGCACUAUUUCGGUGCAGGCCACGAGAGCGGUACCAAAUCGAGGCAAACUCUGAAUACUAGAUGUGUCCUCAAAAUAACAUGGAUCAGGGUCGGUCAGUGAGACAAUGGGGGAUGGGGGAUAAGCUUCAUCGUCGAGAGGGAAACAGCCCGGAUCACCAGCUAAGGCCCCUAAAUGACCGCUCAGUGAUAAAGGAGGUAGGGGUGCAGAGACAACCAAGAGGUUUGCCUAGAAGCAACCACCAUCGGUGCAGGCCGCAAGAGCGAUACCAAAUCGAGGCAAACUCUGAAUACUCAAUGUGACCUCAAAAUAACAUGGGUCAAGAUCGGCCAGUGAGACAAUGGGGGAUAAGCUUCAUUGUCGAGAGGGAAACAGCCCAGAUCACCAGCUAAGGCCCCUAAAUGACCGCUCAAUGAUAAAGGAGGUAGGGGUGCAUAGACAACCAAGAGGUUUGCCUAGAAGCAACCACCCUUGAAAGAGUGCGUAAUAGCUCACUGAUCGAGCGCUCUUGCACCGAAGAUGAACAAGGCUAAGCUAUAUGCCGAAGCUGUGGGAUGUAAAAAUGAAUCGGUAAAGGAGCAUUCCGCCCUAGAGGGAAGGACCCAUGCAUGCAGUAUUGGACAAAGCGGAAGCGAGAAUGUCAACUUGAGUAAUGCAAACAUUGGUGAGAAUCCAAUGCCUUGAAAACCCAAGAGUUCCUCCGUAAGGUUCGUCCACGGAGGGUGAGUAAGGGCCUAAGAUCAAGUAGAAGGGCGUAGUCAAUGGACAAUAGGUGAAUAUUCUUGUACUACCCUUUGCUGGUCCCGAGGGAUAGAGGAGGCUAGGUAUGGUUAUCGAUUCAAGGACGCAAGGUGCCUUGCUUUUUCAAGGUAAUAAGGGGUAGAGAAAAUGACUCAAGCCAAAGUUCGAGUACUAGGCAUUACAACACUGAAGUAAUCCAUGCCAUACUCCCAGGAAAAGCUCAAACAACCUUCAACAAAUGGGAGCUUGAUGAAAUCCUACCCCGCAAGGGCAUUGGAUAGAAGACUCCGAGAAGAUUGGGCCAGAGAUGCAAGAGAAGGCCCUAGGGUUCUCAUGAGGGUAGAUUUCGGGCCCAUAGGCUAAGUAUGAGCCCGCUUAUCUUUGUACAU
rnacentral:rRNA from 1 species